GAAUUGUGCUGUAGUCUAGGUGUGGGGGACAUUCCACGUUUUCCGCGCCGUAGCUAACGCAUUAAGUGCCCCGCCUGGGGAGUACGGCCGCAAGGCUAAAACUCAAAGGAAUUGACGGGGGCCCGCACAAGCGGCGGAGCAUGCGGAUUAAUUCGAUGCAACGCGAAGAACCUUACCAAGGCUUGACAUGAACCAGACCGGGCUGGAAACAGUCCUUCUCCUUUGGGGUUGGUUUACAGGUGGUGCAUGGUUGUCGUCAGCUCGUGUCGUGAGAUGUUGGGUUAAGUCCCGCAACGAGCGCAACCCUCGUUCUAUGUUGCCAGCACGUGAUGGUGGGGACUCAUAGGAGACUGCCGGGGUCAACUCGGAGGAAGGUGGGGGAUGACGUA
rnacentral:rRNA from 1 species